AUAACGGUCCUAAGGUAGCGAAAUUCCUUGUCGGGUAAGUUCCGACCCGCACGAAUGGCGUAAUGAUUUGGGCGCUGUCUCAACAGUGGACCCGGCGAAAUUGUAGUAUAUGUGAAGAUGCAUAUUACCCGCGACUGGACGGAAAGACCCCGUAGAGCUUUACUGUAACUUGAUAUUGGAUUUCGGUAAUUAAUGUACAGGAUAGGUGGGAGACUGAGAAGCAGAGGCGUCAGCUUCUGUGGAGUCGCCCUUUGGAUACCACCCUUUGAUUAUUGGAAUUCUAACCUUGUGCCGUUAUCCGGGCAAGGGACAGUGUCAGGUGGACAGUUUGACUGGGGCGGUCGCCUCCUAAAGAGUAACGGAGGCGUUCAAAGGUUCCCUCAGAACGGUUGGAAAUCGUUCGUAGAGUGUAAAGGUAUAAGGGAGCUUGACUGAGAGACAGACAUGUCGACCAGAUACGAAAGUAGGACUUAGUGAUCCGGCGGUAGAGAAUGGAAUUGCCGUCGCUUAACGGAUAAAAGUUACCUCGGGGAUAACAGGCUUAUCUCCCCCAAGAGUUCACAUCGACGGGGAGGUUUGGCACCUCGAUGUCGGCUCAUCGCAUCCUGGAGCUGAAGUCGGUUCCAAGGGUUGGGCUGUUCGCCCAUUAAAGCGGUACGCGAGCUGGGUUCAGAACGUCGUGAGACAGUUCGGUCCCUAUCUGUCGUGGGCGCAGGAAGUUUGAGAAGAUCUGUCCUCAGUACGAGAGGACCGGGAUGGACAUAUCAAUGGUGCACCAGUUGUCACGCCAGUGGCACAGCUGGGUAGCUAAAUAUGGAAGGGAUAAACGCUGAAGGCAUCUAAGUGUGAAACCCGCUUCAAGAUGAGACUUCCCAUUACGAAAGUAGGUAAGACCCCUUAAAGACGAUAAGGUUGAUAGGUCAGGAGUGUAAGCAUGGCGACAUGUUAAGCGGACUGAUACUAAUAGGUCGAGGACUUAACCUA
rnacentral:rRNA from 1 species